rnacentral:rRNA from 1 species
CUCCUACGGGAGGCAGCAGUGGGGAAUAUUGCGCAAUGGAGGAAACUCUGACGCAGCGACGCCGCGUGGGUGAUGAAGGCCUUCGGGUUGUAAAGCCCUGUCGGCUGGGAAAAAGAUAGUCGUGCUAACACCACGAUUGUUUGAUGGUACCAGCAAAGGAAGCACCGGCUAACUCUGUGCCAGCAGCCGCGGUAAUUC